AUGUGGAACCAGUUGCCCGCUGAAGUAUCAGUUACGUAUAAGAACCUAAAAUUUUAUCUUUAUCAUUAGCAUUAUCUGUAGCUUAAAUUAAUUGCCAAUUGACAGUUUGUCAUGUCAAUGAAUGAAAGCCAAUGUCAUGAAUUUGACGUAAUUUUCCAUAUUUUCUUUCACGUUUUUCAUUUCCAAAUUAAAGAGUAAUAGAUAGGUAACUUAAUAAAUACGUAAAAGGUACACUCCAGUAACUACAAUACAAUUGUAUGAUUUGGGCGUGGCUAUUAGCAUACGUAACUGUUGUAGGUGGAAUUUUAUUUUGGCAUAACGCAGUAAAUAUUACAACACUGGAAGAAUUCACAAAUAACUUCAAAGUCUUGGUGGAUGAGAUGUCAACAUCCUUUCAGCCUUACGGAUAUCCAAUAGAGCUUCUCAUUAGAAACAAAUUGUUUUUGAAUAAUAUUAAAGUGUUUUACUAAUA